CCUACGGGGGACAGCAGUGGGGAAUAUUGCGCAAUGGGCGAAAGCCUGACGCAGCGACGCCGCGUGAGGGAUGAAGGUCUUCGGAUCGUAAACCUCUGUCAGCAGGGAAGAACGGUCACUGUGCUAAUCAGCAGUGAAUUGACGGUACCUGCAAAGGAAGCACCGGCUAACUCCGUGCCAGCAGCCGCGGUAAUACGGAGGGUGCGAGCGUUAAUCGGAAUUACUGGGCGUAAAGCGCUCGUAGGCGGUAUGUCAAGUCAAGGGUGAAAUCCCCGCGCUCAACGUGGGAACUGCCUUUGAAACUGGCAGACUGGAGUGUGUGAGAGGAUAGUGGAAUUCCAGGUGUAGGGGUGAAAUCCGUAGAUAUCUGGAGGAACAUCAGUGGCGAAGGCGACUAUCUGGCACAUAACUGACGCUGAGGAGCGAAAGCGUGGGUAGCAAACAGGAUUAGAUACCCUUGUAGUC
rnacentral:rRNA from 1 species